GGCUCAGCUGGUGUUUUGGACUACAACUCUCACAAUUCCCAACACCACUGGCCCUCCCAACACAGGUCACAGUCAAAUCAUGGAAGGGAGGAAAAGGGUACCCUAAAAGACUAUUUUAUUUUUUUUGAAAAGCAGUAGCUUACAACCAAACCUUCUUGCUUGGGGAGCAAAAGGGAAAUUGCCCAAAAAGUUUAUUUUGACUUCUCCCCCAAUUUCUCCUCCCACAAAUUGGGUGAUCCUAACGUGAGAGCAAUGAGGGCUACUUCAUUCCAAAUUUGGCAAAACAUCCAGAGCUUUGAGAAAAAAGAGGAAAACACCUAGAUGCCACAACAACUGGCCCCAUGUUUCCUUUGUUUUUCAGAAAGCGAUGAAGGGUUCGCCAGCACUGAGGAAGCAAGUGAGAAAGAUUCCCAUAACUCUGAAGAACGUACAUCAUUGUGUUCAUCCAGCAGUUCUGGCAGCACCGAAACAGGUAAAUUGGGGGCAGGGGGGCAAUGGGGAGAAGAGGGUCAAGCCUUGAGACAGAGAAUUCAAUGUCC
rnacentral:lncRNA from 11 species